GUUUGCUCAUUCUAAGGAUAUAUAUUAGAUUUGUUUUUUUUUUAAGAUUGAUUAAAAAAAAUUCAACUUAUUUCCUUAACCCAACAAGUACAGUGGAAUGUAGUUAUAAUAAAAAUCUCCUUAGAAAAGGCCAUAUUUCUAUGUUAUUGGGAAUCUGGUUAAAUUUAACUUAACAACCAAUUAAACUGCAUUUAUUUACCUAAGGCUUUGCAAACGCAUAGCAGGAAACUAUUUUCCAAGUUCAAGUUUCACUGUGGAUUUCAAGGGAGUUUCCACAAAGCAAUUUCCCACAAAAAUCUCUCAGCCAAGUUCUAUAAUGUCAAGUGUAACAGACUCAAUAAUUGAAUCUUUAUCCAGCAUGGAGAUGAGAUGGCUUCUGAUCUAGUAUUACACCAGCUAGAACAUGUCACAGGUCAGUAAGAGCAGUUAAAUUAGAUGGAAUGCAUGCUGUGUGUGUAGUGUGUGUGUGUGUGUGUGUGCGCACGCUUAUACGUGCACUAGCUUUAUGAUGCUGAAAUACAACCUAUAGUGUUCACCAAGUUAUCAUAAAUAGCUACAAGCUGGAGUUAAUGGGGAGUGAUAUUUCUAUCUCAAAUGUGUUAUGGUAUACUUUGUUGUAAUGUAAUGCAACAGGAUAUUUUCAAGUUCCUUUGAUAGCAAUCACUGGUUUAUUAAACUUUCACUAUGUAAAAUAGAGAGGUUUUUAAGAAAUAAGAGAAGAGCAAUCAUGGCAGAGCUGAUGAAAAUAACUAAACUUAAAAGUGGUGCUAUGAACAGUUUGUCUUGCCACUGUGAGUUGAAAAUGUCCUAUUUCUUUUCACCUCUUUAACUGUGAAAGUAAUAAUGCUUAAAAGGACUUCAUUAUGAAUUUAUUAAAUUAAUACAUUUGUAUUAAAAUACUAGGAAUUGAAUAGAUGCAAUGUUGUCAGUUUUUCAUAGAAGAACCUAAAAGUCUCUUAAGACUGUCAAAUUCUUUAGGGACUUUUUAAAUAUAAUGUUUUAAUUCAUUCUCAAAAGUCUUACAACCAAGUUUUUGGUAGUUGAGGCUGGAUUAUUGACUUGGAG
rnacentral:lncRNA from 1 species